rnacentral:rRNA from 1 species
GGCUACGGCCAAGCUACCCUGAACAAGCCUGAUCCUGUCUGAUCUUGGAAGCUAAGCAGGGCUGGGCCUGGUUAGUACUUGGAUGGGAGACCACCUAGGAAGACCAGGUGCUGUAGGCG